rfam:Shigella dysenteriae Sd197 plasmid pSD1_197, complete sequence.
AUAGCUUGAUUGUUGGCUAUACGGUUUUUAGAUGGCCCCGGUAAUCUUUCUCACUCGCCAAAGUUAAAGAAGAUUAUCGGGGUUUUUGCUU